GCCCUGAGUUUGAUUUCCAGCUCCCCAGGCAAUUACAGCUCAUUUGGCUGCAUGCGAGGGAAACAGCACUGCCCUACUUCUCAGGCUCCACAGCUCUGUUUGAGGAGGAACCACCAAUGAGAUUGAACUCAGACUGGAUCUGCCAGAGAGAUCAGGACUGGCACUGAGGAGGACAAGAGAGAGGUUAUUGUUUGGAGGAAGUUAUGGGGAGUAGUGCAGAAUAGGUUGAGGGGUAGAGCUUCAGCUGACCAUGCGGUGUUGGAGGAUGGACAGGCAGGUGAGCAAUGGUUUGGUUUUUCCACGAGGUGAUCUCAGAGCUGUGGGGCUGGAGGUAGGAAAGGAAGGAAGACUGACGGCUGGAGUGGCAGGGAGUUGUUUCCAAAACUUGCCGGAGAAUGAAUACAGAGAACAGAAGCUUUGAAUCCAGGACACUGUCACAGAAUGAUCAGAUUUGCAAAGCAGGACAAGAAACGAUUAGAGCAGGCUUGAGGAAAUGCAGAGAACAGCAGAACACGGUCAGGUUAAGACCGCUGACGCCUUCCUCAAGGUUCCUGCUCCUGAAGAAGAACUGCUGAUUGGGCUCAACAAGAAACACCCGUUGUAGCUGCACCUGCUUGUCACACCCUGCAAGCGGAGAGAAACACAGCACAAAAACACAAACACCUGCACACAGCCACUGUGGG